UCUUUAAAUUUAAAGGAUUUGGCGGUAUUCAAGUCUGGUUAGAGGAACCUGCUAAUGAAACGAUAUGCCACGAAUAAUCUUACUUUUAUUAGUAUUCAGUAUGUAUACCGCCAUUAUUAGGUAAUAUCCUUAGAUAGUUACUAAAAUAGUUUUCCUGAGAUAUUAGGUCAAGGUGCAGCCUAUAUAAAAGUUUUUUGUGGGUUACAAUGUAUUAUAUACCUCGGAUUAGAAUUUUAAAUAGUUCUUUAAAGUUGGAUUUAAUUGUAUUCUUAUUUUAAUAAGUUAAGUUGAUAUUAGCUCUAAAAUAUGUACACAUACACAUA
rnacentral:rRNA from 1 species